UCGUUGCUGUGCUCUAGUUCGACUAGUGU
rnacentral:sRNA from 1 species